CUGCGGCCCGGCUCUUCCCCGAGUCGCGGCACCCCCAGCCCUGCGCUGGUCAUGCCCUGCGCCCUCGGGAUCCUGGGAAUCCGCACCCGGCUUGCGGACCUGGCCAGGAAGAUGAUGAGAUGCAGUUGAGAAAUUACAUCUGCAGUGACAACAAGCCGUUUGGAGGUAUCCAACAUUAAAGGUGAUUGUCCUAGUGUAUCCUUUCCGACAGCUCUCUGGAAAUGACUUUGCCUAAUCCUUUAGGAAGAAGAAGAUUGCCAGAACGCUGAGCUCUGCUCCCUCUACAAUUCUGCCUCCAUGAAGACGCAGGGAAUUUUCUCCAAGAGCCGUGGUUCUUCCGGAAGCAGCCUCAGACCACUCUUGUGCUGACCUACAGAAAGCCCACCGUUUAAUGGAGGGCUCGCCAUCCUUAACAUGUCAUCCAAGAACCUUCUGACGUGUGGGUCCACAGCAUCAUCUCCUCUUGCUUAUCCUCAUGGUUCAAGCACACCAAGUAACUUACCGUUUCCCAGACAAGUACCUUUGUCUGCUGUACUUCUGCAAGUGGUGAGUUCUGAACCCUAACUCACAGUCACUGCUACUGCCAUUGUCCCAGCUGGAGCACGUCAU